rnacentral:rRNA from 1 species
UGAGGAAUAUUGGGCAAUGUCCGCAAGGGUGACCCAGCAACGCCGCGUGGAGGAUGAAUGUCGUAAGAUUGUAAACUCCUGUUAGAGGGGAAGAAUAGUACCGGUUGGACCGGUAUAUGACUGUACCCUCAGAGAAAGCCCCGGCUAACUACGUGCCAGCAGCCGCGGUAAUACGUAGGGGGCAAGCGUUGUCCGGAUUUACUGGGUGUAAAGGGCGCGCAGGCGGGAUAAAAAGUCAGUGGUGAAAUCCUACAGCUUAACUGUAGAACUGCCUUUGAUACUUUUAUUCUUGAGUUCGGGAGAGAGAGACGGAAUUCCAGGUGUAGUGGUGAAAUACGUAGAUAUCUGGAAGAACACCAGUUGCGAAGGCGGUCUCUUGGUCCGACACUGACGCUGAGGCGCGAAAGCGUGGGGAGCAAACA